rnacentral:rRNA from 1 species
AGAGUUUGAUCAUGGCUCAGGACAAACGUUGGCGGUGCGUCUUAGACAUGCAAGUCGAGCGUGAAAGCCCGCAAGGGUGAGUAAAGCGGCGAACGGGUGAGUAAUACUUGGGUAACGUUCCUCCGAGAUCGGGAUAACGCGCCGAAAGGCGUGCUAAUACCGGAUAUGACCACGGCUUCCACGGAAGCAGGGGUAAAAGAUGGCGCAAGCUAUCACUGGGAGAUCGGCUCAAGCACCAUUAGCUAGUUGGCGGGGUAACGGCCCACCAAGGCUACGAUGGUUAGCCGGCCUGAGAGGGUGAUCGGCCACACUGGGACUGAGAUACGGCCCAGACUCCUACGGGAGGCAGCAGUUUGGAAUAUUCCACAAUGGGCGAAAGCCUGAUGGAGCGACACCGCGUGAAGGAUGAAGGUCUUCGGAUUGUAAACUUCUUUAGACCUAGAUGAAGGCUGCAGGGUGAAUAAUCCUGCAGUUUGACAGUAUAGGUAGAAUAAGCCACGGCUAACUCUGUGCCAGCAGCCGCGGUAAUACAGAGGUGGCAAACGUUGUCCGGAUUUAUUGGGUGUAAAGGGCAUGUAGGUGGUUUCGUAAGUCAAAGGUGAAAUGGCCCGGCUCAACCAGGUCAUUGCCUUUGAAACUGCGGGACUUGAGUACGGAAGAGGAAAGCGGAAUUCCCAGUGUAGCGGUGAAAUGCGUAGAUAUUGGGAGGAACACCGGUGGCGAAGGCGGCUUUCUGGUCCGAAACUGACACUGAGAUGCGAAAGCCAGGGGAGCAAACGGGAUUAGAUACCCUAGUAGUCC